AAGUCGAGCGGUCGUAGCAAUACGGCAGCGGCAGACGGGAGAGUAACACGUGGGAACGUACCCUUCGGUUCGGAAUAACCCAGGGAAACUUGGGCUAAUACCGGAUACGUCCGAAAGGAGAAAGAUUUAUCGCCGAAGGAUCGGCCCGCGUCCGAUUAGCUAGUUGGUGGGGUAAUGGCCCACCAAGGCGACGAUCGGUAGCUGGUCUGAGAGGAUGAUCAGCCUCACUGGGACUGAGACACGGCCCAGACUCCUACGGGAGGCAGCAGUGGGGAAUAUUGGACAAUGGGCGCAAGCCUGAUCCAGCCAUGCCGCGUGGGUGAUGAAGGCCCUAGGGUUGUAAAGCCCUUUCGGCGGGGAAGAUAAUGACGGUACCCGCAGAAGAAGCCCCGGCUAACUUCGUGCCAGCAGCCGCGGUAAUACGAAGGGGGCUAGCGUUGCUCGGAAUCACUGGGCGUAAAGCGCACGUAGGCGGAUUGUUAAGUCAGGGGUGAAAUCCUGGAGCUCAACUCCAGAACUGCCUUUGAUACUGGCGAUCUUGAGUCCGGGAGAGGUGAGUGGAACUGCGAGUGUAGAGGUGAAAUUCGUAGAUAUUCGCAAGAACACCAGUGGCGAAGGCGGCUCACUGGC
rnacentral:rRNA from 1 species